UUACGAUGUUCCUGGAAAGCCACUUUCCUGAGAAGAACUGCAACAGAUUUUCAUGAUAUCAAGAAGGCUUUAUGUUCUUGUGAGAAAGUUUGGCUCAAUGUUGUCUUCUGUUUCCUCUUCAUAAACCCGCUUGGAGGAGAGUUUCCAAUUUAUGCCAAGACUGCAAAUUAGCACAAGCUGCUGCUGCUCUCCAGCAAAUCAACCCGAGGGAAACUGUGGGGGAGAAGGAAAACUCGAUGCAGACUCAUAAAAAGAACAUAUUGAUGCUCUGAAAGACAACCCCAGAAGAGUAUGAGGAGACAUACACAGUCUACGCAGGCCUGUAAGCUGAAUAAAACUGCUGAAGCUUCAGUCUCUUUACUACAGAAAUAGGCUUUGGUAUCUGAUGCUGUCAUCAGGAACUAUGGAUCUUGUGUGAGUGAUUUUUUUUUUUUUUUGCUGUAAGAACCAAGGAGUAUUCGUUGCCUAUUGCUGUGUAACAAAUUGUCCCUGAACUUAGCAACUUAAAAUAAUAAACAGCUAUUGUUUCAUGA